UGCGGGUUUUAUUCCCAUUCGGGAUGGAUAUGUGCACAGUAAAAAUAGCGUAAAAAUGAAAAACAUUCUGAGACAUUCUUAACUGAGAAAAUAUCUGGCUGAGAGUGAGUGGAGGUGAGAUGAACACUUACCUUGUAGCAGUCCCAUCUGUAAGCGCUGGAUUGCAGCAAGGAGACCAGCAACAUCAGCGUUUUGAAAAUGAAUUGCAGUGGGUGACAUCAAGAAAGUCCACAAUGGCAGCGUCAAUAACGACCACUCUCCAAAGGGUGAUAGAAAGGUCCCUGGAGAGACAAAACUAGUAGUGAUAGACGAGUUUCCAAGAAAAGAAGCCUAAUUAUGUUCGGAGGUUGUGUAUUAG
rnacentral:misc_RNA from 1 species